rnacentral:rRNA from 1 species
UACGGAGGGUGCGAGCGUUGUCCGGAAUCAUUGGGCGUAAAGAGCUCGUAGGCGGUUUGUCGCGUCGGCCGUGAAAUCUCCACGCUUAACGUGGAGCGUGCGGUCGAUACGGGCAGACUUGAGUUCGGUAGGGGAGACUGGAAUUCCUGGUGUAGCGGUGAAAUGCGCAGAUAUCAGGAGGAACACCGGUGGCGAAGGCGGGUCUCUGGGCAUUAACUGACGCUGAGGAGCGAAAGCAUGGGGAGCGAACAGG